GCCGUUCUUCACACCAACUGAAUCUACAACAACCAUGACUUUGAUUAUCAGCAUUGUGUGGAUCCUAACUCUCUUUAUUCAGGAGUCCAGAGGACAGAUCACUGUGACUCAGACUCCUGCAGUGAAAGCUGUUCUCCCAAAACAGACAGUCUCUCUGCAGUGUAAAACCAGCAGUGAUGUGUAUGAUGCAGGUUCCUCUUCUCCCCGUCUAGCCUGGUACCUCCAGAAACCUGGAGAAGCUCCUAAACUCCUCAUUUACUACGCUAAAACCCUGUACACAGGAACUCCUUCUAGAUUCAGUGGUAGUGGAACACAUAGGGACUUCACUCUGACCAUCAGUGGAGUAGAGGCUGAAGAUGCAGGAGAUUACUACUGUCAGAGUGCACACAUAACCAGUGACUGGGUGUUCACACAGUGAUACAGAGCCGUACAAAAACCUCCCUC